CAAUCGCCAUUUUCGUUUCCCUUCCUCGCCGAACCCCGCGAGCCCCUUCUUCCCCGUCGCGAUCCCUUGCCCUAACCGCAUGUGGCGGUUUUUCUUUCUCCCUCGCGGUUUAAGCCAAGGCGGAGGGUUCUUGGCAUAUCCUUCUUCUUCUUCCCGAGUUCUGCCCCCCUCUAUUCUUUGUCGCCUUCUCCUUCGUGCGCCGAUCACCAGCCACGGGAAACCCUAGCGCCGACUUCCCCUACGCAUCGCUCAACACCGAUGUCACUGCCACUAUUCUCUCCGGCCACUGUUUUCCUCCUGAGCACUUGACGUCGAUCCGCUCCUCUAUCCCCAUUGAUCAGCCACUCAUACAGCGUGCCCUAGAUCAGUUUUCCGCCGCUGUUGUGAGGCCUGCGCCGACCAUCACCAGAGCAACUGAGUCUUCUAUUUUCUCUAGUCAACGUACUCCGAUCUGCCUUCUCCGACUACUUCGAUCAUUGAGGUGCAGAUUUGUUGUCGAUCCUCUUACUUGCUGUUGAUUGAGGUUUCGGUUGAAGUGGGAAAGAUUCCAGCAGGGAGAUUGUGCUCUGUGGGGUGUUCUUGGUUCGAUCCAUCUUGUUCCAGCGUCAACAGUGGCAGGUAGUGAGGGUAUUUGAUUUGGAGGGCAGCACCAUUUACCUCACUUCAGUCAGGUUUAUUAGCAGUAAGUUGUCUCCGGUUGUGGAUUCACACAGCGACUGUGAAUUGAAGCAAGGUUGAUGCUGUCAGGAGAGAGUUCCAGUUGCUAGUCCCCUGUAGCCACGAGGCUGUUUAUUUAUCUUUUGGCUUUAUGUACUAGACUAUGUUUUGAACUUGUUAUGUUUUGAACACUUUAGAUCCUGUAUGGAUUGCUUUAUUUAGUCAAUGACUUUCAUUCGGAUUUGUUUUACUA